AACGAACGCUGGCGGCAUGCCUAACACAUGCAAGUCGAACGAGACCGUCGGGCCUAGGGGCGCACGUCGACUUAAGGCGUGGGAACCUACCCGUAGGUACGGAAUAACUCCCUGAAAGGUGUGCUAAUACCAGAUAAGGUCUUCCGACCAAAGAUGUAUCGCCGUUUGAUGGGCCCUCGUUGGAUUAGCUAGUUGGUAGGGUAAAAGCCUGCCAACGCGACGAUCCAUAGCUGGGAUGAUAGGAUGAUCAUCUGCAAUUGGGCUGAGACCCGGACCAGAAUCGUACGGGACACAGGAGUAGGGAAUAUUGGAGACUGAAGGAAGACGCGAUAAAGCCGUGUCGCGUGAGUGAUGAAGGCGUUAGGGUUGCAAAGUUCUCUUAGACGAGAUGUUAAUGACAGUACCGGGAGAAUAAGCUCCGGCUAACUCCGUG
rnacentral:rRNA from 1 species